CUUGCACCCCGCCAGUAUUGCCGAGACGCCCUGACCCAGAGGGGCGUGGUGGAUGGACUACCAUCUCCCCUUCCUCUAACAGCGGGGGAGGAACUUGUCUGGCGUGGAAACAGAUUAAUUUUCUUGGAUAGAAAGAGAAGGCACAACUGGAGAGAGAAGAAAUGGCUGGAAAGAGAGACUGGAAUGAGGUGACAAGUCAGGAACUAGAAGAGAAAGAUAAAAAGACAGGACAUGAGAAGGAAGGAAAGACACGACAGGAAAGAGAGGAAAUGGCUGGAAAGAGAAUACAAUGAUGAAGUAGAACAUAAAGCAAGGAGGAGGAGUUAAGGCUGGAGAGAUUAGACAAGGAUAAGAAAGAAGACAACCCUGGAUACAAGACGACCCUGGAAAGACAAGAUUAUCCCAGGAAAGAGGAGACAAAGCUGGAAACAGGAGACACAGCUGGGAAGAAAAUGCAAGGCCAGAAUGAGAAGAUAAGACUGGAAAGAGAGAGCAAGAAUGGAAAGUGAAGAGAGAGAGAGAGAGAGAGAGAGAGAGAGAGAGAGAGAGAGAACUAACUACCCGUUUGUGUGUAUUGCACGUGUUUGUUAGCUUGAUAUAUGUGUAUCAUCAGUCUGAUGAUGAUUUGAAUAAAAAUUUUAUUUAUUUGUUUAUUUCUAAAUUAGUUCGUGUAUCAGUGUAUUUAUGUAGACGAGGAUUAAGCUCUGUACAAGGUGCGCAAGCCGCACGUCUUUGUGACGUGGCAGUGGGGAGGUGAGGUGAGGUGGCAGCAGGGUGAUGAGGUGGCGACGAACCGUCAGCCAGGGUUAGUUGCUGUCCGCCCCUACCUGAAGUGUGUUGUGAUGGAUCACUGGAUGUAACAUUUAUUCAAGACUUGGGAUUAUUGUAUUAUGCUGUUUAUGAAUCCAAUUACUGGUUCGAAAAGUUCAUGGAGGCAAUCCAUAUGCGGCUGGAGCUACCGUUGGAGAGGGCAGGACAGCACACCGCGUGAGGGUGGCGAGGGACUGUUGCCCCACGUUCCGUCCAUUCCUAUUCACGUUGCCCCAUCCCUGUCCUAUUACAUGAGUGUUGGUCUCCAUGUCUCUGGUGAAGAUGUAUCCGGGGAAGAGGAGGAAGAGGGAGAGGUUACUGAUUACUUCCAUACGGCGUCCACUUAAUAAUAUGAAGACCACCAUAUACCCAGUGUCUGGUGUGCAGCGAAAGGCGGUUUGCCAGGAGUAUUAGUUAAGGAAGAAGAAGAAGAGCCUGCAAAAAAUAAGAUUAAGUGGCACCUCCGAGGCUGCGACAAUGCAGCCGUCUGUUCUUCACGUCAGCUACACGCAUAGCAGCACACCAACGAGUCCCAUACAUUUUCAACUCCUCUGACGGCCUGGCGUCCCCGCUCGGCCCCUUCCACGACUCGCAGCGAGAGACGUCGAGGUGCGGUGGUCUUGUGGCGGAAGGCUGAAGGAGGCGGUGAAGGAGUGAAGGUGUGAAGUGUGUGGCUUCCACUUCACCAUCCUAUGAACAGCCUGCAGGAAUCUCUAUCAGCACCUGCUUCUGCAAUAUUGGCAUCUGGUUAUCAAAUAGUGCUGUCACACUGGGCCUGACAUACUCCAUUGCAAUUGGGGAAUCAAGCUUCACCAGGAAGAGAGGCCGAGCAUCACGACCUUCAAGCCUUCAAGCCCUACAUGAGGUGUUAAGUAUUGUCAGGACAAAACAGAGGUCCUGGUACAAGAGUUUUCAUUGCAAUCAAGGAAGAGUCAAGUUGCAAUAAGAAGAGUGUGUCAAGAAUUUUAAGCAGGAGGAAGACUGUCAAGCAGUUGACGGCAGGAAGAACGCGUGAAAUUCCCUUAAGUCAUGGCAGGACCGACAGGCAACCUUCAUUCAACACCUGCAGAGGCACAAGAGUUGUGGGCAGUUUCACCAGGAAGAGUUUGCUCCUCACUCAAGUUGACACAAAGACACAAGAAUUUGCAAGUGUUGUUCCUCCAAGACCCUGCUGCAAAUGUUCUCCAAUCCACUCCAGUCUGGGAAGGAAGAAUGUAGGAAGUCCCUCUCUUCUGUACUCAACAAGCACCACCACCACCACCACCUUCAUUCAGGCUUGAGACAAGUUUUGUACAUUCCAGCACUUCAGUAAUAAAGAAAACAAGUGCCAUGUUUAUUA